AUUGAACGCUGGCGGCAGGCUUAACACAUGCAAGUCGAACGAGUGGCGGACGGGUGAGUAAUGCCUGGGAAUCUAGCUUAUGGAGGGGGAUAACUACGGGAAACAGUAGAUAAUACCGCGUACCAUAGGAUGAGCCCAAGUGGGAUUAUGUAGAUGGUGAGGUAAAGGCUCACAAAGCCGACGAUCUCUAGCUGGUAUGAGAGGAUGACCAGCCACACUGGGACGGAGACCCGGCCCAGACUCCGACGGGAGGCAGCAGGGGGGAAGAUUGCACAAUGGGCGCAAGCCUGAUGCAGCCAUGCCGCGUGUGUGAAGAAGGCCUUCGGGUUGUAAAGCACUUUCAGCGAGGAGGCGUUACUCGCAGAAGAAGCACCGGCUAACUCCGUGCCAGCAGCCGCGGUAAUUC
rnacentral:rRNA from 1 species